CAGCAGCCGCGGUAAUACGUAGGGUGCGAGCGUUAAUUGGAAUUACUGGGCGUAAAGCGUGCGCAGGCGGUUCGUUAAGACAGAUGUGAAAUCCCCGGGCUUAACCUGGGAACUGCAUUUGUGACUGGCGAGCUAGAGUAUGGCAGAGGGGGGUAGAAUUCCACGUGUAGCAGUGAAAUGCGUAGAGAUGUGGAGGAAUACCGAUGGCGAAGGCAGCCCCCUGGGCCAAUACUGACGCUCAUGCACGAAAGCGUGGGGAGCAAACAGGAUUAGAGACCCCUGUAGUCCCUGUCUCUUGUAC
rnacentral:rRNA from 1 species